rnacentral:rRNA from 1 species
CAGUAGCCGCGGUAAUACGUAGGUGGCAAGCGUUGUCCGGAAUUAUUGGGCGUAAAGGGCUCGCAGGCGGUUUCUUAAGUCUGAUGUGAAAGCCCCCGGCCCAACCGGGGAGGGUCAUUGGAAACUGGGAAACUUGAGUGCAGAAGAGGAGAGUGGAAUUCCACGUGUAGCGGUGAAAUGCGUAGAGAUGUGGAGGAACACCAGUGGCGAAGGCGACUCUCUGGUCUGUAACUGACGCUCAUGCACGAAAGCGUGGGGAGCAAACAGGAUUAGAUACCCGGGUAGUCCCUGUCUCUUAUAA